CGAGAUUUGAUGCGUCAGCAUUUGCUGGGCACAGUGCUGCCCGCCCAGCACGUUGUCGACCUGCGAGGACACUCCAGCAAACUAGCCGGACGGCUGCUGCUAGACGCAGUUAAACUGUUAGCUACCCCGAGGAGUAAAAGCAAGAUUGGUCAAUCCGCCUGCAAGGAGAGCCUGCAAGGAGAGCGACAUGUGUAAAGUUUAAUGGCUUUAACUUAAGGUAUUCACCAACCCACCAACUAAAGUGAGCUACAAUUGAACCGAUGAACCAAUAUGAUUUGUCUAUCACAACGUAUGGGGCACCAACUUGGGACUGCAGUGCAUGAUGGAAGUAAACCUUUUUUUUCUGUACUUCUCAGCCCAGUUCAGCGCUCUGGCUCCCAUGGGCUAGGAUGUUAGCUGCCCUAUUGAAUUCUCCAACCACUAUCCACACAGGGCUGGCCGAACUGUGGCAAUCUGGUGUGGAAGGAGAGGACAAGAACCACCCCAAACCUGAUGUUUUGACUCCUCCUAUCUGGUUGCCAAGGCUUAGACUGGUCCUGAAGCCUGUGAUACCGCAGAAGUGGGCUUCAGAUCGUCCACAGGGAUUACUGGUGUUCACCGGAACUUCGGAACAGGACUCCAACUUGGCCAAGCAGUUCUGGAUCGCAGCGUCGAUGUACCCUACUAACGAAUCUCAGUUGGUGCUAUCCCGAGGUAGCAGUCAGCGCCUGCCGGUGGCCCAACCCUCUAGGCGCAGUCCGCCUGAGACUACUGAUAUCACCGCUGAAACCAUAAAGAUUCAGGCAUCUGAGGAGAAAAAAAAGUAUCUCCAAAAGGCUAAAAGGAGAGAUGAGAUUCUCCAACUCUUAAGAAAACAAAGAGAAGAAAGGAUCUCGAAAGAACUGGUUUCCCUUCCUUAUAAGCCAAAGGCCAAAGUACACAAAGCAAAGAAUACUUGCAUUUUAAAAGAGGUCUGACUGGAAGGAAAGAAGGACCAAUAGCUAUUCCAAAGAAAUCAAUUAUCAGUGAUAAUCACAAGAAAGUGACAUCAGAGUCAGAUAAGGAACACCAAGAGGAGGUCAAAGCCUUGGACUAACGUGAUGGACACAUGGGAAAGGAUGGCUCACUUAGAUCUUGACAUUUGAAGCACCCUUCUCUUAUGUCAGGAUCAUUGGGAUCACUUUGUUGAAAUAGACAAAGAAAUAAAAGUUAAAUAUGCAGACUUCUAGGAAUUUUACCAGUUAUUGAAUACUUGUGUCUACUUUACUUGAUGGAUACUACUGUAUUUGACACCACACAAUCGUAUCAUCUUACACCUCUGAAACUCCU